CCAAUAUCGCGUAGAACAUGGAUCCCUCUCC
rnacentral:sRNA from 1 species